GACGAACGCUGGCGGCGUGCUUAACACAUGCAAGUCGAACGGAAAGGCCCUGCUUUUGUGGGGUGCUCGAGUGGCGAACGGGUGAGUAACACAUGAGUAACCUGCCCUUGACUUUGGGAUAACUUCAGGAAACUGGGGCUAAUACCGGAUAGGAGCUCCUGCUGCAUGGUGGGGGUUGGAAAGUUUCGGCGGUUGGGGAUGGACUCGCGGCUUAUCAGCUUGUUGGUGGGGUAGUGGCUUACCAAGGCUUUGACGGGUAGCCGGCCUGAGAGGGUGACCGGCCACAUUGGGACUGAGAUACGGCCCAGACUCCUACGGGAGGCAGCAGUGGGGAAUAUUGCACAAUGGGCGGGAGCCUGAUGCAGCAACGCCGCGUGCGGGAUGACGGCCUUCGGGUUGUAAACCGCUUUCGCCUGUGACGAAGCGUGAGUGACGGUAAUGGGUAAAGAAGCACCGGCUAACUACGUG
rnacentral:rRNA from 1 species